UGCCCAGGCUGGAGUGCAAUGGUGCACUCAAUCUCGGCUCACUGCAACCUCCGCCUCCUGGAUUCAAGUGACUCUCCUGCCUCAGCCUCCUGAGAAGCUUGGAUUACAGACACGCACCACCAUGCCCGACUCAUUUUUGUAUUUUUAGUAGAAAUGGGUUUACACUGUGUUGGCCAGGCUAAUUUUGAACUCCUGGCCUCAAGUGAUCCACCCGCCUUGGCCUCCCAAAGUGCUGGGAUUACAGGCGUAAGCCACUGCGCCUGGCCCGGGGGUGAAGUUUUUAAAGAAGUUUUUUGAAUUGUUUUGUAAACAUUCUUUCCUCUUUAGAUAGUAGACUCAGAGGAGGAACCUGUUUUAGAAAUGUAGGUAAUCUCAAGGCUCGUAUCCUUAAAAAUAGGCCUUAAUGUAAGCUGAGCCAUGACAACCCGCACCCCCAGAUUAAUAAAUGAUUCAUCUCCAUCAGCUGUAAUUUGAGUGUCUUCCAUUAUGAUCCUUGUAACCCAAGACCUAUAAAGUUAAUCUGCCUCAUGUGUUUAACAACUGAACUUUAUUAUCCAGCUAUGAAAAAAACCAUUGAAUUUGCAAUAGAACCUCCCCACACCAGGCUGGUAGCAUCACGACACAGGCAUCCUGUUCUUCCUUUCUGGAAAUGACUGUUUAUGAAUUGGGUUAGGUGUGUUCUGUCCUGAAUCACACAGGCUGAAAGUGAAGCAAGCUGUGCAUCUUAAAGAGUGCUUUUUUGUUCCUGAACAUUGUUCUUGAGAUGAAACGAGAGGGUGGGCCAGGG